rnacentral:lncRNA from 1 species
AGUAGAACCGGUCGCCAUGUCCGCGGGGAGCGCGACGCAUCCUGGAGCUGGCGGGCGCCGCAGCAAAUGGGACCAACCAGCUCCAGCCCCACUUCUCUUCCUCCCGCCAGCGGCCCCAGGUGGGGAGGUCACCAGCAGUGGGGGAAGUCCUGGGGGCACCACAGCUGCUCCUUCAGGAGCCUUGGAUGCUGCUGCUGCUGUGGCUGCCAAGAUCAAUGCCAUGCUCAUGGCAAAAGGGAAGCUGAAACCAACUCAGAAUGCUUCUGAGAAGGUAUUUGAAGUUGAAGGGUCUCCACUAAUUGCGAAUUUAAUAGUUG